GACGAACGCUGGCGGCGUGCUUAACACAUGCAAGUCGAGCGGAAAGGCCCUUUCGGGGGUACUCGAGCGGCGAACGGGUGAGUAACACGUGAGUAAUCUGCCCUUCACUUGGGGAUAACCUCCGGAAACGGUGGCUAAUACCCGAUACGACCAUUCCUCGCAUGAGGUGGUGGUGGAAAGUUUUUCGGUGGGGGAUGUGCUCGCGGCCUAUCAGCUUGUUGGUGGGGUAAUGGCCUACCAAGGCUUCGACGGGUAGCCGGCCUGAGAGGGUGACCGGCCACACUGGGACUGAGACACGGCCCAGACUCCUACGGGAGGCAGCAGUGGGGUAUAUUGGACAAUGGGCGGAAGCCUGAUCCAGCAACGCCGCGUGAGGGAUGACGGCCUUCGGGUUGUAAACCUCUUUCACCUGUGACGAAGCGAAAGUGACGGUAGCAGGAGAAGAAGCACCGGCCAACUACGUG
rnacentral:rRNA from 1 species